AGGGCAUCGCUGACUGGGGAGCCCAGGGCACGGAGAUCUUCUAUGCAAUCUAAAGUCUUUCUUUAUUCCCUUUUCCUUUCAGGAUCAUCUUGCCUUUAAGUCCUCAAGAAACCUCCAGCCAAGUAGGCCGAACACUGUGUCCUCACGCUGAACAAAAACGAGGGUGCUCGGGAACCCUUCUUUAUUCCAAGCCUGGAAGUCAGAAGCGGCAGUCCGGCGGGGUGCCUGGCUGUGCUUGGGCGGCUGUGACCGCCGGACCUCAGGGUGCAUCCCAUCCGU
rnacentral:lncRNA from 12 species